UACGAAGGGGGCGAGCGUUGUUCGGAAUCACUGGGCGUAAAGGGCGCGUAGGCGGCCCUUCUUGUCGCGUGUGAAAGCCCCGGGCUCAACCUGGGAACGGCGCGCGAGACGGGAGGGCUGGAGUUCGGGAGAGGAGCGUGGAAUUCCCAGUGUAGAGGUGAAAUUCGUAGAUAUUGGGAAGAACACCAGUGGCGAAGGCGGCUCACUGGCCCGGUACUGACGCUGAGGUGCGAAAGCGUGGGGAGCAAACAGG
rnacentral:rRNA from 1 species